GGAUAGCCAGGGGCCACUCCAACACUCAGACAUCAUUUACAGAUAGCCAGGGGCCACUCCAACACUCAGACAUCAUUUACAGAUAGCCAGGGGCCACUCCAACACUCAGACAUCAUUUACAUAUAGCCAGGGGCCACUCCAACACUCAGACAUCAUUUACAUAUAGCCAGGGGCCACUCCAACACUCAGACAUCAUUUACAAACAAAGCAUUUGUGUUGAGUGAGUCCGCCAGAUCAGAGGCAUUAUGGAUGACCAGGGACGUUCUUUUUAACUUGGAUCAACAUUGACUCUUCAAGCCACACAUACCGUCCCUGCUGUGUCUAACCUAGUACAGACCAUUACCAGUCAUUCUGACGACACAACUGGUAACACAACACCACCAGUCACAACAACCUUAAUCCAGAAUACUGUCUCCAAGGAAACAACUGAGACAGACCAUAAGAACAUCAUAACCUCUCACAAAGAUACCCAAACUCUGAUCGCCCAUUUGAAGGUCUCUAUAGUUUCGGCUGGGGACAUAAGUAAGGAGGAGAUCAUUGAGGCGUUGCAUCAUUUUGCAGCGCAGGUCCAAGCCUUUCUACAGAGAGAGUACUGUAACAACUGCACACUGCGCAUCAGAAACGUCAGAGGAAUAUGAGACCAACAUUUAAUCCAAAACAUGUCUCUACACUAACCCAAAGAAUCUUAUGAGAUUCCUGGAACUAACCCUCUUCAUAUAACUCUAAUAUAGUCUGGACCCCACAGAAAAACCUACAUCUGAAAAUCAACAAUGCCAGUUUAAGCUUUUCAGUCAUUUUGAUUUUGGUUCAGUCUUUUCAGAAGAAUUAAAUCUAUGGUCUAUUAAUUGUAGCCUAUAUUUAUAUUUAACUUUAUUUAGGAAUGUUGGUCAGUUUAGCAUAUGGACAUAUUGUAUUCUAGGUUUAUAAUGCUGUUCAGUCAUUUGUCACAAGGAGGCAGUAUAACUGUUUCAUUAUCCAACAGAAGCACAGUAAAAGAGGCUUUCCAACACAGUCAAAAAUGCACUUUCAUAAGUGACUUUCAAAAAAUGUGUUUUUGUCACAAUAAUAUUUUCCAUCUAAAAACACCAAAAAAGCUGUAAUACAACAGCUAUUUCCAAUUUAUAUACUAGACAUUGUUUAAAAACAAAUAGGUAAAGAUGCCUCUAAAGGGGCACUAUACACCUGUUGGCUGCAAAACAAAAGUUAUUUUGGAAAAUCUGCGCAACAACGGAUUGUCAAUAUAUAUCCUGUAUAUACUGUGUGUGUGUGUAUAUAUAUUAGUGUAUAUAUAUAUAUACACACACAUAUAUAUACACAUACAGUGGGGAGAACAAGUAUUUGAUACACUGCCGAUUUUGCAGUUUUUCCUACUUACAAAGCAUGUAGAGGUCUGUAAUUUUUAUCAUAGGUACACUUCAACUGUGAGAGACGGAAUCUAAAACAAAAAUCCAGAAAAUCACAUUGUAUGAUUUCAAGUAAUUCAUUUUCAUUUCACAAAUCACCUUAAUAAUGUUUACAUAUUUUACAUUACUCAUCUCAUAUGUAUAUCUUGUAUUCUAUUCUACUGUAUUUUAGUCUAUGCCACUCCGACAUUGUUCGUCCAAAUAUUUAUAUAUUCUUAAUUCCAUUCCUUUACUUUGGAUGUGUGUGUAUUGUGUGUAUUGUUGUGAAAUUGUUAUAUAUUACUUGUUAGCUAUUACUGCACUGUUGGAGCUAGAAACACAAGCAUUUCCCUACACCCACAAUAACAUCUGAUAAACAUGUGUAUGUGACCAAUCACAUUUGAUUUGAUUUGAUUUGAUUUGAGAAAGUGAUAUUGACUCAGAAAAGGUUGGUGACCACUGGCUGACGGGGUAGCCAAUAUGUAACUUGAGUGAACUAUCCCAUGAACACAUAAUGGGGGUCUUUAAAAAGUAAUCACCUAAUAGCAGGAACAGCACCAUCUAGUGGUCAGAACUUGGUAACAUUAGGAUGUGGGAUGGGACAUAAAUCCAACAACUUCAAUGACAAAUUUCUCUGAACAGGGGAAAAAAAACAUCACCAAAUUCACUGAGAAUACAUUACACGGGAUGAAAAGACAAUACUCUGAGCCGCAGCUCCAUACUACUUGUCAAACAUAGAGAACUGAUACUCAUUGUUUGGGUGGGAUUGGCUUGGGGGAUUCCGUGGGGGGCUUUUGACAAUUUCUUUGGAUUCCUCCUGUCUAACUCAUUGUUAGAGACAAGUUUGGCCCAAAUCAGAUGUUACAUAUUAUAUUUAUUCAAUUUUAUAUGAAUCCUGUAAAUUAAAAUGGCUAAUUUGGGUGUAGUCAAUUAGUUUAAUUUCUCAGAGAUUAAAUUAUAUUUCAACAAAAUAAUGUUGUUGCAAUGCUAAUCUUAUCUGUUUCUAACAACAGAAACGAUUUCAGAACAAUCUGAGAUGUUGGGUGUUGAAAUCAUCUUUCUUGUGCUUUUUCAGGUGAAACGACCCCUGUAUGAUUUGGCACCUCAAAUGCAAUUACUCUUUAUGUCUUUAUUGUUCUUUAUUUCAUAUGCACAUAUUAAUUGCUGUAUAAUGAUAGCAAACUGUGAC
ensembl:lncRNA